GACGAACGCUGGCGGCGUGCUUAACACAUGCAAGUCGAACGCUGAAGCUUGGUGCUUGUACUGGGUGGAUGAGUGGCGAACGGGAGAGGAAUACGUGAGUAACCUGCCCUUGACUCUGGGAUAAGCCUGGGAAACUGGGUCUAAUACUGGAUACGACAUGUCACCGCAUGGUGGCGUGGGGGAAGGGGUUUACUGUUUGUGGAUGGGCUCCCGGCCUAUUAGCUUGUUGGUGGGGUAAUGGCUCACCAAGGCGACGACGGGUAGCCGGCCUGAGUGGGUGACCGGCCCCACUGGGACUGAGACACGGCCCAGACUCCUACGGGAGGCAGCAGUGGGGAAUAUUGCACAAUGGUCGGAAGCCUGAUGCAGCGACGCCGCGUGAGGGAUGACGGCCUUCGGGUUGUAAACCUCUUUCAGCACGGAAGAAGCGAAAGUGACGGUACGUGCAGAAGAAGCGCCGGCUAACUACGUG
rnacentral:rRNA from 1 species